rnacentral:misc_RNA from 1 species
AAACCCUCAAGCUCUGCUUGGUGUUGGGCACUUGUCGCGCACCUCGCGCCGACUUGCCCCAAAUCCAUUGGCAGCUACCCUUGCCGGACUCUAGCGCAGCACUAUGCGUGUCGAGGCUCGGCCCGCGGCGGCAUCCACGGCUCCAAAACCUUA